AAGUCCCGAGGCUCAACCUCGGGAUCUGCGGUGGGUACGGGCAGACUAGAGUGAUGUAGGGGAGACUGGAAUUCCUGGUGUAGCGGUGAAAUGCGCAGAUAUCAGGAGGAACACCGAUGGCGAAGGCAGGUCUCUGGGCAUUUACUGACGCUGAGGAGCGAAAGCAUGGGGAGCGAACAGGAUUAGAUACCCUGGUAGUCCAUGCCGUAAACGUUGGGCACUAGGUGUGGGGGACAUUCCACGUUUUCCGCGCCGUAGCUAACGCAUUAAGUGCCCCGCCUGGGGAGUACGGCCGCAAGGCUAAAACUCAAAGGAAUUGACGGGGGCCCGCACAAGCGGCGGAGCAUGCGGAUUAAUUCGAUGCAACGCGAAGAACCUUACCAAGGCUUGACAUGUGCCAGACCGCUCCAGAGAUGGGGUUUCCCUUCGGGGCUGGUUCACAGGUGGUGCAUGGUUGUCGUCAGCUCGUGUCGUGAGAUGUUGGGUUAAGUCCCGCAACGAGCGCAACCCUCGUUCCAUGUUGCCAGCACGUAGUGGUGGGGACUCAUGGGAGACUGCCGGGGUCAACUCGGAGGAAGGUGGGGAUGACGUCAAAUCAUCAUGCCCCUUAUGUCUUGGGCUUCACGCAUGCUACAAUGGCCGGUACAAUGGGUUGCGAUACUGUGAGGUGGAGCUAAUCCCUAAAAGCCGGUCUCAGUUCGGAUUGGGGUCUGCAACUCGACCCCAUGAAGUCGGAGUCGCUAGUAAUCGCAGAUCAGCAACGCUGCGGUGAAUACGUUCCCGGGCCUUGUA
rnacentral:rRNA from 1 species